GCCUCCCGCCCCGCUGCGCCCGCGGGGCCCCGAGGCUGCGGGCCGGACUCAGGUCUGCGGGCUGACCCGGCCGCUCCCGCGCCCUGGGCGUGCCGGGGGCCGGAAGCAGAGGGCGCAGGGCUCCAGGCGCCUGGGUUUCGGGCCUAACGGGCGGUGGAGAUCAGCUGGGCCCGAAAGAGGCGGGGCCAGAAAACCUGAGUCUGCAGAAACGGGGUGUGCGCGCCAACGCGCUGGGCGCGGGGACUGGGCCGCACCCGGCGCUCCCUGCCCUGCGGACUCCGGCUGGAGCUUGAUUUGCAGUUUGCUAGACGCCACCAUUAAGAGAUUGCCAGACAGCAAAGAAUAGAAAGAGUGGCGCUUUUAACUUUUGUUUUGGUUGGUUGAAUUUUUUUUUUCCCUCUCGGCUGGCAUUAACAGCGGUGAACCAGCCGGCUUAUACCAAGACUCUCCGAAUUCCCUUCGAUUCGAAGGUCAGCGUCUCCUGAGUUAGACGUCGAAUCUGAGAAUGGUGGUGUACCACAGAGCUCGAAAGUGAGCCCGAAAGUUGGCCGGUCACUAAGACAAACGCUCUGGCUUCACGCUGCAGUUCUAAAAUGCCGCCUUUAACUGUGAAGUACUUUUUAACUGUGAGGGAAAAAUAGAAUACGGAAAAAAAAAGGACUGAACCCGUGCCUCGGACCAGGGUCUAGUAGGCUGAAGGUACCUAAAAGAUUAAGUGUCCCGGCGGGGGAGGCUUGAUUAUCAAGUUAGUCAAGUAAACGUUGGGUUUCUUCUUUAGGUUAGCGCACCGAGCAGAAUAGAAACGUGGACGUGACUUGUAGGUCACUGAGAAGUGACCUCAGCCAUCCAGGAAAAAACCAGCCAGCGAGCUUUCUUGGACUGUAAACAAUUGCACUUAACUCCGUUUGUCCUUGAGUGCAGAGGACAUUUCAGCUUAGCAAACUCUAGACUUUAUGAUGGGACCCUGAGCCGUGCAACAGAGGGAUAAGGCAGCUUCUCGUUUUAGGAACUUACCUGAUGUGGACCCCUCUACAUUAGUCUCAUCUGAAGAUCCGUCCUCCUAACCCAGCACUCACACAUUUGCAGCUCCAGGAUGUGCCCUUCUCUCAAAACUGUGCCUUAGCUGUGCCCUGUGACUACACACCUUUCUUUCACUUCUGGCCAGCACCUCCUGAGAUUUGCUGAAAGCAAGUCCCAGGCAUGGAGCUGCACUACAGGAGCUACAGCACGGGUAGAUAAAACGCCAAAAGAAACCUCAUCUUUCGGGCUAGAGGAAGAGUGUGUGUGUGUGUGUGUGUGUGUGUGUGUCCGUGUGUGUCUGUGUGUGUGUGUGUGUGUGUAUGUGUGUGUGUGGUGGGGAAGGUGGGGCGGUCUUGUAAACUGAAGAAUGUGGGGAAAAUCCCAGAGAAAAAACUGGAGAAGGGGAUCCCCUAAUUCUGUGAAUGAAUGUGUGCAAAUCUCAGGGUCAACCCUGAGCAGCACAUGUGUAGCCAAACAGCACAGCAAUUCUCACAGACUGGAAAACUCAAUUGAUACUUAGGUCACUGUCAAAGUCCCAGACUAAGACCUGAGUGGUGCCUGCAUGAGACAGACCUGAAGAGGCAAAAGCUUUGAAAACUGAACUGAGAUUAGAACCACUGCCCACAGAAGGCAAAACAGAAAUUUGGAAUCUGAACCUAAGCAAAUUGAUUGCCUGACCAAACAAAAAAAUAAACAAAAAAUCCCAAUAGUCUCCAGAGGAUUAUAACAGGAUGCAGAGCCUACACAAUAUAACAUUUGGGAUGUUUAAGAUAUAGUCCAAAAUUAUUUGUCAUAAAGAGUCCAAAAAAUGUGACCAAAUAAGAGAAAAGACAGUCAACAGAUGUCAACCUAGAAAUAACCCAGAUGUUGAAUGCAUUAUUUUUUAAAACUUUUAAAAGCAUUUCUAACUAUGUUGUAUGAAGUAAAGGUAAACAUAUUUGAAGUGAAUGAAAUGACAGCUCUCAGCAAAGAAACAGAAGCUGCUGCAAAAAAAGAAAGCUGCUACAAAAAGAAGAAAGAAAACAAAAUGUUAGAACUGAAAAAAAAAUUACCUGAAACAAAACAUUCACAUAAGCUCAAUAACAGAAUGAGCUGUUACCAAAGAGAAUAAUGGGUUGUUAUUGCUAUUGAAGAGCAAAGUGUUAGUGCAACUGAAAAUAAAUCCAUAGAAAAUAUCUGAUCUGAAUAACAAAGAUAACUUCUCCUGAGAAAAGAAGUUGAAAAAAUGAACAAAGCCUCAAGGACCUAUGGGACAAUACCAAAAUGUUCCAGAAGGAAGGAUGAAAGAUUGCUGCAGAAGUAUUUAAAGAAACAGUAGCUGAAAUUUCCAGAAUUUGGUGAACGAUAUAAACUUACAGAUUCAAGAAGCCUGGCAAACCUCAUUGAGGAUAAAAUCAAAGAAUACUAUGCCUACACACAUUAGAUUCAAACUGCUGAAAAUGGAAGCUAUAGGGAAAAAAUAUAAGCAGCUAGAGAAAAACAACGUAUUUUUACAGGGGAAUACCAAUUCAAACAACUGUGGAUUUCUCAUCAGAAACCACAAAGGCUACAAAACAGUGGAAUAACACUCUGAAAGUGUUGAAAGACCUAUUGAUGCAGAAACCUAUGAACAGUGAAAAUAUCCUCCAGGAUUGAAGGUGAAAUAAAGUUUUCAGAUGAAGUACAAAUUAAGAAUAUUCAUCACCAACAGAUCUGCUCAAAAAGAAAUGCUGAAGGAAAUUCUUUAUGCUAAAAAGAAAAAUUACAAGAGCAAACCUUGGGUAAAGGAAAAGCAACAAAAAUGGUAAAUAUCUGAAUAAAUAAAACAGAUUAUUUUUUCCUCUUAA